rfam:Drosophila busckii chromosome 3R sequence.
UGCGCUUUGGCAGUGUGGUUAGCUGGUUGUGUGGCCAAAUUAAUUUGUUUUUAACUAAAAUCACAGCCACUAUCUUCACUGCCGCGGCGAC